AACGAGCGCGAGACGGCGGCGAAGAAGCCUUAAAGCAGGCUUGCAGCAGCGUUGCUCUUUGGUGAUCGUAGGGAUGUUUGCAUCCCAGAUGCAGUCUACCCUAUACGGUAUUCCUAGGACUUCCUGCGGUUCCUGUUCCAAGUACUAACUAAAUCUAAACAAGAGUUGAGUACAAGGGAGUCAAAAAAAGUCAAGAUGACAUCCAUGCUGUCUGAAGAAACCUAAUUGAAGAAUAGGAAACUCAGGAGGCUACAGUCCUCUGGGUACAGUCCUCUGACUCAUUCAAAGACAAGACAUUCACAUCUAUUCCCCAGCCUCCUCGUGAAUCAAAAGAAGCAGAAACUCCAGACUCCACCUAUAAGAAUUUUCCUAUGAAAGAAAUGUCAAAAGCUAAGCUUUUUUCUUCAUAUUGAAUGAGAAAAAUACCAGACGGGGUUUUUUGCACACUACCAGAAGCCUCCCUGGUUGAGAUUUCUGUUCCUACAGAUACCUCUAAAUAGCUCACAACCAAGAUUCUUGUGCUUAUAUUCUCUAGUUACUGGUAUCUUCUAUGCAACUAACUAAUAGCCACUGACAGCUUAUUCCUCUAUGUCAAGAAGGAGAAAGGGUGGCCUUCCAGAUAUUGUUAUGACCACACUGUCCUACCUGUCAAUGACUACUUCAGUUUCAACCACAACAAUACACGAGCAAAUAAUAGAUACAAACUCAAGGUAAACUGCUCCAAAUUUGAUUGCAGAAAAUAUGAGUUCAGCAACAGAGUGGUCAGUGCCUGGAAUGCACUACCUUACUCUGUAGUUUCUUCCCCAAACCCCCAAAACUUUAAGCUUAAACUGUCUAUUGUUGACCUCACCUCAUUUCUAAGAGGUCUGUAAGGGGUGUGCAUAAGUGCAUCUGCAUGCCUACUGUCCCUGUCCUAAUAUUACUUUUUGAUUUACUCUUUUCAUGUAUCCCAAUUAUGUUUAUACUUUUACCUGUUAUCUUAUAUA